rnacentral:lncRNA from 1 species
UGGCUUAACAAGUCAUAGCUAUGCUGCAGUUUCCUACUGCUCGAACCUCAAUAUCUGCCCAAUAUUAAAUGGAAUCCCCAUCAUCUAUGGGUAUAAGUGCUUUUUUUAAUCCUACUACGUACAACUUCCACCAUAAUCCUAACAAAUGGUUUUUUAGAUUCUGGUAUUACCUCUCAUAUCUCUUCCACAUUAGAUAUUUUUCAGUAAUUUUUGUUCUUAACAAGAGUCUAUUUUUUGUAAUCCAGGACAACCAAGUUUUGAGGAAGAUUGUUAUGGUUGAAUUACACCAGGGCCUCUUCUUCCUUGAGACGUGAUGGCACAAUGCCUCAAUCAAAAUCCUG